rnacentral:rRNA from 1 species
UACGUAGGGUGCAAGCGUUAUCCGGAAUUAUUGGGCGUAAAGAGCUCGUAGGCGGUUUGUCGCGUCUGCUGUGAAAACUGGGGGCUCAACCCCCAGCCUGCAGUGGGUACGGGCAGACUAGAGUGCGGUAGGGGAGAUUGGAAUUCCUGGUGUAGCGGUGGAAUGCGCAGAUAUCAGGAGGAACACCGAUGGCGAAGGCAGGUCUCUGGGCCGAUACUGACGCUGAGGAGCGAAAGCGUGGGGAGCGAACAGG